UACGGAGGUGGCAAGCGUUGCUCGGAAUCACUGGGCGGAAAGGGCGCGUAGGCGGGGAGGUAAGUCGGGUGUGAAAUCCCUCGGCCCAACCGAGGAACUGCGCCCGAGACUGCUUCUCUUGAGUCCCGGAGAGGAAGGUGGAAUUCCCGGUGUAGCGGUGAAAUGUGUAGAGAUCGGGAGGAACACCGGUGGCGAAGGCGGCCUUCUGGACGGUGACUGACGCUGAGGCGCGAAAGCGUGGGGAGCAAACGGG
rnacentral:rRNA from 1 species